AAACCUUGGAUAAAUAGAAGAUAGAGAAAGGUAUAGAGUGUUUUACUUGAAAGAGGAAAAAAAAACCCUUGAGAUUUGUGCUUUUCGGUGAGAGAAACUGCUGCUUCUUUACACUGAUCUGAUCGGCAGCAGUUUUAUCCGUGGGAUAGAGAAUUCAGCUGUUUAAGCCGAAGGAAAACCAACACAGUUUUUAUUUUUAAAAAAUGGUUUUUAGAGAUGUUAUCAAGGAACCAAAAGUGAAGGUGGAGAGGCCAGGCCGUGAUUCAUCGGUUAUGGUUGGCUUGCAAAAUUGUGUUAUUUCGCAGCCUCUUGUCAACUUAGAGCAAGACUUGGAGUUUCGUGAGAAGAAUUUGCAUAUACUGGAUCGUGUUUUAUCAGGGAGAAAUAAUACCAGUUCAGAAAAUGUUGGAAUUGGUUUGUUUGAGAGGGAGACUUUGAAUUCUGAUUAUGAACCUAUGGACACGGGAGAGAAUCGCGAUGGGCAUGCAUCGGAAGACGGUCUCUUGCCUGGUCUUUAUGAUGAUGCUGCAAUGUAUAUUUUGGCUUCGAGUUGCAGAUCGGAUUACCCCAAUUUGGCGUUGCUAAAUAAGAAAUUCAAAGCAUUGAUUGAAAGUGGGUGUUUAUAUAAAGUGAGGCGGCAGCUUGGGGUCACUGAACACUGGAUUUAUUUAGCUUGUAUUUUGAUGCCUUGGGAAGCUUUUGAUCCUGCAAGUGAGAGAUGGAUGCGGUUACCGAGGAUUCCUUGUGAUGAAUGCUUCACUUAUGCAGAUAAGGAGUCUCUUGCAGUAGGGACUCAGCUACUUGUUUUCGGGCGUGAGUUGUUAGGGUUUGCUGUUUGGAUGUAUAGCUUGCUUACCCAUGAUUGGUCCAGAUGCCCUCCAAUGAACUUGCCCCGUUGUUUGUUUGGUUCAAGCAGCCUUGGCGAAAUUGCUAUUGUUGCUGGAGGAAGUGACAAAAAUGGAUGCAUUAUGAGAUCUGCUGAGCUUUAUAACUCUGAAGUCGGUACUUGGCUAACAUUGCCAGAUAUGAACUUGCCCCGUAAGCUGUGUUCAGGCUUUUUUAUGGAUGGAAAGUUCUAUGUCAUUGGGGGUAUGUCAAGCCAGACAGAAUGUUUAAGUUGUGGUGAAGAGUAUAACCUUGAGACAAGUACAUGGAGGAGGAUAGAGAACAUGUACCCUCUUCCCAGUGCAGGCCAUCCUGCAAUGCGUUCUCCUCCACUGGUCGCUGUUGUAAAUAAUCAGCUUUAUUCUGCUGAUCAAGCAACGAACGAGGUCAAGAGAUACAACAAAACUAAUAAUUCUUGGAGUGUUGUCAAGAGGUUGCCAGUUAGGGCUGACUCUUCUAAUGGCUGGGGAUUAGCAUUUAAAGCAUGUGGUAGCAGCUUAUUGGUAAUUGGAGGGCACAGAGGCCCUCAAGGUGAAGUUAUUGUGCUCCAUACUUGGGAUCCUCAGGACAGAAGCACGGGCACAUCAGAAUGGAAUGUUCUUGCUGUCAAGGAGCGAGCAGGUGCCUUUGUGGCAAACUGUGCUGUAAUGGGAUGUUAAUGCUCUCUUUCAUCCCUAUCUUUGGUGCAAACCUUUGACUUACAGACAAAACCAAAUGUUAAAUUGAUUGCGAAGGUGAAUCAGAGUCAGUAUCUCGUUACUUGAUUGUUUGCUCAGAGGAUAGAAAAGUGGAAGGUGUGGCUCAAUGGGAACAUGUUAUAGCUGCUCUAAGAAAUAUACUCUGGACAUUUUAGAUGGAAGUCAGUUUAUUUUUACUGGAGGGAACGAAGAGAAUGGUGGCUGUUGGAGGCCUUUGAGGAAAACUUUGCCGUAUAAGUUUUGGCAGAUCAGCGUGCUCGAGAUUGCACAAGUUUUGCUGGGUCUGAUUUCAUCGAAGAAGCUUGUAUAGUUUCCUAAGUGGUUGAUGGAGCUUGUUUCUUAUCGUAGAAGAAGCUCUGGCUUUGACAAAUGUGCAGAGUGAAUGUGGUUAGACAUUAGCUGACUAUAAACUUUCGAUUAAAUUGAGGUAUUUGAGAAUUCGGGAAGCCAUGUCUCCACUCGAAUUGUGUUCCUGGUAGCUUUCUGUAUAGAUAAAGAAAGUGUAAUUGAUAGCUUGUCAUGUCAUCUAUUUUGAAGUUGUUCUGUAAUAUUACCCUUAUUUAAAAA